GAUGAACGCUAGCGGCAGGCCUAAUACAUGCAAGUCGAACGAUAUUAUCCAGCUUGCUGGAUAUGAAAGUGGCGCACGGGUGCGUAACGCGUAUGCAACCUACCUUAUUCAGGGGGAUAGCCCGAAGAAAUUCGGAUUAACACCGCAUAAAAUCGCAGUUCAGCAUUGGACAAUGAUCAAAUAUUUAUAGGAAUAAGAUGGGCAUGCGUGUCAUUAGCCAGUUGGCGGGGUAACGGCCCACCAAGGCGACGAUGACUAGGGGAUCUGAGAGGAUGGCCCCCCACACUGGUACUGAGACACGGACCAGACUCCUACGGGAGGCAGCAGUAAGGAAUAUUGGUCAAUGGAGGGAACUCUGAACCAGCCAUGCCGCGUGCAGGAAGACGGCCCUCUGGGUUGUAAACUGCUUUUAUUCGGGAAUAAACCUAUUUACGUGUAAAUAGCUGAAUGUACCGAAGGAAUAAGGAUCGGCUAACUCCGUGCCAGCAGCCGCAGUAA
rnacentral:rRNA from 1 species